AGCGAACGCUGGCGGCAGGCUUAACACAUGCAAGUCGAGCGGCCGUAGCAAUACGGCAGCGGCAGACGGGAGAGUAACACGUGGGAACGUACCCUUCAGUUCGGAACAACCAAGGGAAACUUUGGCUAAUACCGAAUACGUCCGUAAGGAGAAAGAUUUAUCGCUGAAGGAUCGGCCCGCGUCUGAUUAGCUAGUUGGUGAGGUAACGGCUCACCAAGGCGAGGAUCAGUAGCUGGUCUGAGAGGAUGAUCAGCCUCACUGGGACUGAGACACGGCCCAGACUCCUACGGGAGGCAGCAGUGGGGAAUAUUGGACAAUGGGCGCAAGCCUGAUCCAGCCAUGCCGCGUGGAUGAUGAAGGCCCUAGGGUUGUAAAGUCCUUUUAACGGGGAAGAUAAUGACGGUACCCGUAGAAUAAGCCCCGGCUAACUUCGUGCCAGCCGCCGCGGUAA
rnacentral:rRNA from 1 species